ACGGCGUGCAGUCCAUAUUUGUUUGAUUUCGAGAUGUUUGUAGUGGCAUAUUCGUAUGUUUGCUGUGCAAUUUUGCAAUUAUUUAUGCAUACUCAGGCGAAUAAGGCUCGUUGUUCAAUGGCAGCUUAUGAAAUUUUUCAGUUAGAAUCAAUGCUGAAGAGUGAUGAACGCUUCAGUCAGUUCGACCUUCAUCCUAUGCCUUGAUAUGGUUGAGCUAUGCAAACACCUUAUCAUUUGAGGAAUGUACUUUAUUCUCCUGUUAGUUGUCUUCUAUGGAAGAUUAUGAUAUUCGAAAUGAGGCACUUUGCUGUGGCACACCCUUUUGGACUUUAAAUCUAACAAAAAGGCAAAGAACAUCGGCUUCCAGAUGGAUAUCGACAUAGGUGUUUGCACUCAAUGCAGAUCGUCAAUCCUACAUACUUUUUCCGGGCUCGGUGUAGUCACGUACAAGUGGUCCCACGCGGCACUAUUCUGACAGCCCAAUAAAUUAAUAUACCCUUUAUUUCAAUUCUCUUAAAUAAAUACUAAUAAAAUAUAUUUUCCAGUUUUAAUUCUCAUUAUGAUUUCAUUCGCUUCCAUUGAAAUAUUCAAAAGGCUUUUGAAAAACCCAUUUUCGAUUUUUAUUGCCUUGCAUCAAAAUGAGGAUGUAUUUUAUGUUGACAUAUUAACGAUAGCCUAAAGAAUAUGUGGUGAAAAAUGAAUAAAUGUGUACGUACUAUUAAAAUGAUAUAAAAUUGUAACAUUGUUCCCUGGUCCGUGGCUGGCAUUAACCUUUUCUGUCAUAAUGUUUGUUAACAAUUUAAUAACAUUAAUGCUAUCAUGAAAUGAUCAGAUUGGAAGGCCACGUCUCAUAUGAGAAAUCGCUUCCUAGUAAUAAUCUGUUGCUUUAUUUUCAUAAAUAACGAAAAUGAAUGGCAAAUAAAUAAUAUAAAUAAAAACUGUCAAAUCUGCGACAGGGAAAACAAAUAAAAAUUGUGUGUUUUUAUUUCAAUUUCGUAUUUGUUCUGGGCUGCUAGUUGAUUUUAUAUUUAAAUUUGUUGGCUAUCGUUUGGAUUGAUAAA